UACGAAGGGGGCUAGCGUUGCUCGGAUUGACUGGGCGUAAAGGGCGCGUAGGCGGUUCGUACAGUCAGACGUGAAAUUCCUGGGCUCAACCUGGGGGCUGCGUUUGAUACGUGCGGACUUGAGUGCGGAAGAGGGUCGUGGAAUUCCCAGUGUAGAGGUGAAAUUCGUAGAUAUUGGGAAGAACACCGGUGGCGAAGGCGGCGACCUGGUCCGAUACUGACGCUGAGACUCGAAAGUGCGGGGAUCAAACAGG
rnacentral:rRNA from 1 species